rnacentral:rRNA from 1 species
GAUGAACGCUGGCGGCGUGCCUAAUACAUGCCAGUCGAGCGAACGGACGAGAAGCUUGCUUCUCUGAUGUUAGCGGCGGACGGGUGAGUAACACGUGGAUAACCUACCUAUAAGACUGGGAUAACUUCGGGAAACCUGAGCUAAUACCGGAUAAUAUUUUGAACCGCAUGGUUCAAAAGUGAAAGACGGUCUUGCUUUCACUUAUACAUGGCUCCGCGCUGCAUUAGCUAGUUGUUAAGGUAACGGCUUACCAAGGCCACGAUGCAUAGCCGACCUGAGAGGGUGAUCGGCCACACUGGAACUGAGACACGGUCGAGACUCCUACGGGAGGCCGCAGUAGGGAAUCUUACGCAAUGGGCGAAAGCGUGACGGAGCAACGCGGCGUGAGUGAUGAAGGUCUUAGGAUCGUAAAACUCUGUUAUUAGGGAAGAACAUAUGUGUAAGUAACUGUGAACAUCUUGACGGUACCUAAUAAGAAAGCGACGGCUAACUACGUG